CGAUUCGAUCUGUCUUUCUGAGCCUCAAAAAAAGCCUUUCCUCCUCAAGCAUGGACAGUCCUUGAGUUUAGUGAGAGAAAGUGUAGAGAAAGAGAGAGAGAGAGUGCACAUGUCUCUGCUUCCAUAUUGGAUCCACAAGCUCUGAUUUUUCAUACAUCUCUGUUUGGUUACUGAGAAAAACUGAAAUGGGUCUGGCUGAGUUGGUGCGUUUCAUUGAUUGGGAACAAGAAUCGUACCCAGAAUACGAAGAUUUCAUAGUUCUUCCCUUCUUUGCUCUGUUGUUCCCAUCUGUUCGAUUCUUUCUCGACAGAUACGUAUUUGAGAAAUUAGGCAGACGAAUUAUAUUUGGGAAAGGACAGCAGACCCUGGCUGUUGAGACAGCCGAGAGGAAAAAAAAGAUAUGGAAAUUCAAAGAAUCGGCAUGGAAAUGUAUAUAUUUUCUUUCAGCGGAGAUUCUGAUGCUUUCCGUUACUUAUGAUGAGCCAUGGUUCACUAACACAAGAUAUUUUUGGGUGGGCCCAGGAAAUCAGGCUUGGCCUGAGCAAAAGAUUAAGUUGAAACUGAAAGCAGUCUAUAUGUAUACCGCUGGAUUCUACACAUACUCCAUAUUUGCUCUGAUUUUCUGGGAAACAAGGCGCUCUGACUUUGGGGUGUCAAUGAGUCAUCAUGUUGCAACUGUCAUUCUAAUUUUGCUUUCUUAUAUAUUAAGGUUUGCUCGUGCUGGUUCAAUUAUUUUGGCUCUUCAUGAUGCUAGUGAUGUAUUUCUGGAAGUAGGGAAGAUGUCUAAAUAUGGUGGCGCAGAAAUGCUUGCUAGCUUUGCGUUUAUUCUUUUUGUUUUGUCUUGGAUCAUACUUCGCCUCAUUUACUUUCCAUUUUGGGUCCUUUGGAGUACGAGUUAUGAAGUGCUCCAGACCUUGGACAAGGAGAAGCACAAGGUGGAUGGACCACUUUGCUAUUAUGUGUUAAAUUCUCUUCUUUAUUGCUUGCUUGUUCUUCACAUUUAUUGGUGGGUAUUGAUAUAUCGGAUGCUUGUCAAACAAAUACAAGCAAGAGGCCAACUUAGUGAAGAUGUUCGAUCUGAUUCCGAAAGUGAAGACGAACAUGAAGAUUGAUCAUUAUACAGAUUUGUAGACUGCUUGAUAUGUGGAGGUGCUCUGAAAUUUGUAGAGAGCAGUCAAGGUUUACAUGUUGUUAAACGCACAUCCAAUGUUAAGAUCAGAUGUGUAUAUUAAUUCAGGUAAAGGAGGGUAGCAAGUAGAGAGAAGGCUCAUUUGCGAUUUGGAAAUUUUGCUCUUGUAUUCUUCAUGUAAGCUUCUGGGGAAUUAGAGUAAAAAUUGUUGUGAAGAAUGUUCAUAAUUGUAUUGCAUUUGUAUUACUUAUCCUGUAAGGAUUGAGUUUGGUGUCUUCAUUGAAAUUAUGAGGCAAUCAUUUUUAUUUUUUAUUUUUUAAAAUUUUAGGUUUGUUUGGGUCUCCCUUGUUACCAAAGGAACCUUGGUGUAACUGAUUUUUUGAACCUCUUCAUCCUCCUUGUAACUUUGGUGUCCAUGACUGAACAGAUUUUACCCUAGUCAGAUUCGUGUCACUUUAAGUGCUGCUAGUUUACUAA